AACGAACGCUGGCGGCAUGCCUAACACAUGCAAGUCGAACGAGACCUUCGGGUCUAGUGGCGCACGGGUGCGUCACGCGUGGGAACCUGCCCUUAGGUUCGGAAUAACUCCCCGAAAGGGGUGCUAAUACCGGAUAAUGUCUUCGGACCAAAGAUUUAUCGCCGUUGGAUGGGCCCGCGUUGGAUUAGCUAGUUGGUAGAGUAAAAGCCUACCAAGGCGACGAUCCAUAGCUGGUCUGAGAGGAUGCUCAGCCACACUGUGACUGAGACACGGCCCAGACUUCUACGGGAGGCAGCAGUGGCGUAUACUGGACAAUGGGCGAAAGUCUGAUACAGCAAUGCCGCGUGAGGGAUGAAUGUCUUAGGAUUGUAAAGCUCUUUUAACCGGGAUGUGAAUGACAGUACCGGGAGAAUAAGCUACGGCUAACUCCGUG
rnacentral:rRNA from 1 species